rnacentral:lncRNA from 1 species
GCUAAAGCGUGACUUUAGCUUGGCUGGGUUGCUAGGGCGUUACCCUUGCUUGGCUGGUUCUGUAACCGUUGUGGUCGCGGCACUACCGUCGGCUCCCGAGGAGACUAGGACCGAAGUACGUUGACAGAGGGUUUGGUGGCACUGAAAGUCGGCUUCUGAGAAGACUAGGACUAGGAGUGUGAUCACCGGUAAGAGAAAGAGAAGGAGAGGAGUUGCUCUUAGAGAGGUUUGCUCUAGAGAGAACUUAGAUCAUCUUAGAGAUGUUGUUGUUGUGAAUGUGUGUCUUAGAAUGAGAGGAGAAGGUGUUUAUAUAGGG